GCCCUCUCAGGAUGGCCGAGUGGUCUAAGGCGCCAGACUCAAGUUCUGGUCCACGUACGUGGGCGUGGGUUCGAAUCCCACUUCUGGCA
rnacentral:tRNA from 1 species